rnacentral:rRNA from 1 species
UACGAAGGGGGCUAGCGUUGUUCGGAAUUACUGGGCGUAAAGCGCGCGCAGGCGGCCAUUCAAGUCAGGGGUGAAAGCCCAGAGCUCAACUCUGGAACUGCCCUUGAAACUGUAUGGCUUGAGUAUGAGAGAGGUGAGUGGAAUUCCCAGUGUAGAGGUGAAAGUUCGUAGAUAUUGGGAAGAACACCGGUGGCGAAGGCGGCUCACUGGCUCAUUACUGACGCUCAGGCGCGACAGCGUGGGGAGUCAAACAGGA